GGCAGCUUUGCCAAAGUCCCGGAGUUGGCGAGUUGGGCGCUAACUGGUGCGGGCGGAGCGGGGGUGCGCGUGGGCGCGCCGGGAGCGCCGGGACGCGCGGGGUCCCCCCACCCGCUCCCAGAGCCUGUCGGCGAGCUCUGCUCCGGGUCCCCCCGAGAGUUUGCGCGCGGCCCGCGGAGGGGGGAGGGCGGCUCGGGGGUGCGGCCGCCCACCCCCUCGGCUCCGCUCGGAGGACCAACUUUGCUCCGGGGACUCGGUCGUCCCAGGCGGGCAAUGGAGCCGCAGCCGCGCUCCCCGCGCACGGCUCUGCGGCGGGGCCCCAGCUGCCUUCCCCUCGGGUCCGGCCGCUGGCGGUGGCUGUGCACGCUCUCUCUCAACUGUCGCGUGCUGCGCGCUCCUGCCCCCCGUCCGCUGUCCGUGCCGGGCGGCCGGGGGGACCCGAGCCUCUCUGCAGGGGCCCUCCUCGCGCCAGCCCAGUCUCCGUGCAGUUGGAACGGCCUCCAGGCCGGCCUACUAUAUGAGACAUACUUCAGGUGCCUGCAAGAAGAAUCCCUGAUCAGAACCCUGCUACCUCAAAAGGCCAAGUUCCCUGCCUGGCUAACCAGCCCCUGUCCUCAUUUAGGGGCUGACCCUUGGUCUAGGAUUUGCCUGACCUGGAUCGAAAGGAUGAGCCGAGCUACUCAGAUCCUGUCUCAGAAAUUGGAGUCAAGUGCCACAGAGGGGAAAAGGCAGCUGCUGGUGCUCCCUCAAAGUGCAAAUUCAGGUAACAUCAGGGUGGAGAUGAUUCCUGGGCCACAGGCAAGCAGAAGGUAUAGGAAAGGUGAAACCCCAGAAUAACACAGGAAGUGCCUCCAUGGAAAGAAGACAGUGGAGCAGAAGUGUGAGACACAGAGGUGCUGAGAGAGAAAACGAUGCAAGAGAAAAACCUUGGCUCCUGGUUUUCUAGCUCCAGUUGGUUUCUGGGAAGGAUCCUGCUUGGAUCCCCGCCCUGGGGCUUCCUCUCUUUAGGCGGGGUUUCCUGCCGCAUUUCCUUUCCCUGGCCUUGGCACUCUCAUCUCAAAGUCCAGGUUAAAGCCUUUGUCAUUUCUCCUGUGCAUUGUUCCAAGAGUCUGCUGAUUCCACUGUCACUUUGGUCCUGCAUCCCUUAAAGGGCACCCUCCCCACCGCAGGGAUUAUUCUGCUGUGCAAACUUGCCAUGCCGUUUCCCACGAGUGGUCUCUGGUUGUCUUCCCCAACUCCCUUCACCUUACUUAACUGUGUUGCCUCUCACCACCAUGCCCUUGCUCAUGCUGAUCCCCGUCCAGGACUACCCUGUACAGGCUUUUGUGGGUGACUUCUUACUUAGCUUAGAUGUCAGCUCCUCCUCCCUCCCUCACUGACUCCUACCUCUUCCCACCCAGUGGCUCUAAGAGCCCCUUCCUCUUUUCCCCU
rnacentral:lncRNA from 1 species